rnacentral:rRNA from 1 species
UACGUAGGGUGCAAGCGUUAAUCGGAAUUACUGGGCGUAAAGCGUGCGCAGGCGGUCUUGCAAGACAGAUGUGAAAUCCCCGGGCUCAACCUGGGAACUGCAUUUGUGACUGCAAGGCUGGAGUGCGGCAGAGGGGGAUGGAAUUCCACGUGUAGCAGUGAAAUGCGUAGAGAUGUGGAGGAACACCGAUGGCGAAGGCAGCCCCCUGGGUCAAGAUUGACGCUCAUGCACGAAAGCGUGGGGAGCAAACAGG